GCCAGGCAUGGUGGCGGGCGCCUGUAGUCCCCGCUACUCGGGAGGCUGAGGCAGGAGAAUGGCCUGAACCCGGGAGGCGGAGCUUGCAGUGAGCCGAGAUCAGACCACUACACUCCAGCCUGGGUAACAGAGCAAGACUCUGUCUCAAAAAAAAAAAAAAGUAAUAAUAAAUAAAAAUAAAAAAUACUGAGUAGUUCACUUUUUUUUUUUUUUUUUUUUUUUGAGACAGAGUUUCCCUCUGUCGCCCAGGCUGGAGUGCAGUGGCAUGAUCUUGGCUCACUGCAAGCUCCGCCUCCCAGGUUCAGGCCAUUCUCCUGCCUCA
rnacentral:SRP_RNA from 1 species